rnacentral:rRNA from 1 species
AUUGUACGCUGGCGGCAGGCCUAACACAUGCAAGUCGAGCGGUAGAGAGAAGCUUGCUUCUCUUGAGAGCGGCGGACGGGUGAGUAUGCCUAGGAAUCUGCCUGAUAGUGGGGGAUAACGUCCGGAAACGGACGCUAAUACCGCAUACGUCCUACGGGAGAAAGUGGGGGCUCUUCGGACCUCACGCUAUCAGAUGAGCCUAGGUCGGAUUAGCUAGUUGGUGGGGUAAAGGCUCACCAAGGCGACGAUCCGUAACUGGUCUGAGAGGAUGAUCAGUCACACUGGAACUGAGACACGGUCCAGACUCCUACGGGAGGCAGCAGUGGGGAAUAUUGGACAAUGGGCGAAAGCCUGAUCCAGCCAUGCCGCGUGUGUGAAGAAGGUCUUCGGAUUGUAAAGCACUUUAAGUUGGGAGGAAGGGUCGUUACCUAAUACGUGACGAUUUUGACGUUACCGACAGAAUAAGCACCGGCUAACUCUGUGCCAGCCGCCGCGGUAAUAC